rnacentral:rRNA from 1 species
AUUGAACGCUGGCGGCAUGCCUUACACAUGCAAGUCGAACGGUAACAGGUCUUCGGAUGCUGACGAGUGGCGAACGGGUGAGUAAUACAUCGGAACGUGCCCGAUCGUGGGGGAUAACGGAGCGAAAGCUUGGCUAAUACCGCAUACGAUCUACGGAUGAAAGCAGGGGACCGCAAGGCCUUGCGCGGACGGAGCGGCCGAUGGCAGAUUAGGUAGUUGGUGGGAUAAAAGCUUACCAAGCCGACGAUCUGUAGCUGGUCUGAGAGGACGACCAGCCACACUGGGACUGAGACACGGCCCAGACUCCUACGGGAGGCAGCAGUGGGGAAUUUUGGACAAUGGGCGAAAGCCUGAUCCAGCCAUGCCGCGUGCAGGAUGAAGGCCUUCGGGUUGUAAACUGCUUUUGUACGGAACGAAAAGACUCUUUCUAAUAAAGAGGGUCCAUGACGGUACCGUAAGAAUAAGCACCGGCUAACUACGUG